CGGAGUGUGCUGUCCAUCCGCGGACUUUCUGCUGGAAUCCAUAGGCGAGCCUCGCUGCAUUUUUUCGCGGGUCAGCGACGGCCUCACCUGCUGUUUCGAAGCCUUGGACUCUGCGUUGGUAGAGCUCUGAGUCGAAUCGUCGACCAGCGACAGCGUGACGUCGGCUUCCCGCUUUCCGCCGAUGUCGCCAGCGCGUUCUGCAAUGCUUCGACGGGGUCCUUUGAUUUGAUCCGGCUCCGAAGUGGCGGUGUCAACGAUCACCGGUGAACAAUGGCGAUUACGGUGCUUUCACGUGGAACGAGAUUUGAUGGUUGAUGGUGAUGGUGACGAUCCUACAAAACCAUGGCACGUACCCACAGUGGGGGAUGAACCAAGAAUCGGGCUGUUUUACCGAGUAUAUUCUUUCCGGCGCCU
rnacentral:lncRNA from 1 species